AGAAAUGACGACCACCGAAGAAGUUUGUUCUGCAUCUUCGAAUUGCAGUGACACUGAUGUGGCGGAGGCAAAGCUAUGAUAUCAGUAAACGCCAAUGCGUGGUUACCGUUUGACCAGCCCAGAAAACGUUUCUGGGUUAUGGGGCGUCCGUUUUUGAACUGACACAGGCGGCGAAGAAAACUGAUUACAAAGAUGGCAAAUGACAGAGUAACAUAAAAGGAACGUAUCGUCUUCGCACUGACCACUUCCAGAACAUGUCUCAAAUAAAAUUGGUAAUAAAGUUAAAACUUGCCCACA